CUCUCUUCCCUUGCUCUUCUUCACGCCAUUUUCAUCCAUUUCCCCUUCAAAGAUUGGUUCUCAUUUCAUCUUCAAGAUUUCAAGUAAAGAUCCUUCUUUUAUUGUUCUUCAAGAAAGAUUAUGAUGAUCAAGAAGUGAUGGUUGCUAGGAUGAGCUUAGGAUUGAUGGUUGCUUGUGGAUUGUUAAAGCUCUAAGAGGUAUGGAGUAGAUUGAGCCGAGAGCGCGCUAGUGAUAGAUCUGCUUCCUUCUAUGCUUAGUCUAGUAGCUUGUUUAGACGUUUUCAGGCGUGCCUUGGAUUAUGUUUCCUGUAUUGACUCUUACAGCUGUCUUUAAUUUAUGGAUUGGUAUUAUGGAUUUUAGCCUGUGCAUCUAGAGUUGGAUUUGCCUAGAUGUGGCAUGGCACCCUGUUGAGUUUUAGUAUGCUUCCGCUUUAUUAUGAUGUUAGUCCUGAGAUUGCUAGAUUUUAUAUUAAGUUUAUGUC